CUUAAAUGUAGAUAGCAAUGUUUUCAGACAUUUAGUGUUAAAUGGUAUUAUUUGUGUAUCCUUCUGCAACAUGAUUUCUUAACUUUUAAAGAUUAUUUCUAUUGAACAUAUUUCUUUAGUUUUUAUUGCAUGAACUUGCUUUUGGAAUUCCCAUGUGUAAAUAAGUCACAACUUUCUCAUUCUCCCCUUGAUGGGUGUUUAGUUUGUUUCCGACAUUGUCCAUUACAAACAGUGCCACCAUGAAUAUCCUUAGAAAUGUUCCCUGUGCGGUUUGAGUUUCCCCAGGCACACGCCUGGGAGUUGGUUGGCUGGGUUGCUGAAUAUCUCCCUUUUACUACUUAUGCCAUUAGUAUUGGAAUUAGUAACACAGAUGAAUUUAGGCCUACUAUUUGAUUAAAUUACUGUUUUUUAUUCCUUUGUUCUUCUCCUGCCUUAUAUUGGAA
rnacentral:lncRNA from 1 species